rnacentral:rRNA from 1 species
AAUGAACGCUGGCGGCGUGCCUAACACAUGCAAGUCGGAUGUGCCGCAAGGUGCAUGGCAGACGGGUGAGUAACGCGUGGGGAAUCUACCUUUUUGUGGGGAAUAACGUUCCGAAAGGAAUGGUAAUACCGCAUGUGACCAUGGUUUUGGGAUAGUCAUGGUGAAAGCUGGGGACCGCAAGGCCUAGCGCAAGAAGAGGAUCCUGCGUCUGAUUAGCUAGUUGGUGAGGUAACGGCCCAACAAGGGCAACGAUCAGUAGCCGGCCUGAGAGGGUGAUCGGCCACACUGGAACUGAGACACGGUCCAGACUCCUACGGGUGGCAG